GAUGAACGCUAGCGGCAGGCUUAAUACAUGCAAGUCGAGGGGCAGCAUAAGUAGCAAUACUUGAUGGCGACCGGCAAACGGGUGCGGAACACGUACGCAACCUUCCUUUAAGUGGGGAAUAGCCCGGGGAAACCCGGAUUAAUACCCCGUAAUAUUAUGAUGUGGCAUCACAUUAUAAUUAUAGAUUCAUCGCUUAAAGAUGGGCGUGCGCCUGAUUAGGUAGUUGGCGGAGUAAAGCCCACCAAGCCUNCGAUCAGUAACUGGUGUGAGAGCACGACCAGUCACACGGGCGACUGAGACACGGGCCCGACUCCUACGGGAGGCAG
rnacentral:rRNA from 1 species